UUCUUUUUGUUUCAACAUAAACCUUAGGUUGGUGGUGCAGUGAGAGAAGUAACUGGAUACACUGCCACCUACCGUCACAAGAUUAGUGUGGAAGAAGGGGGAGAGGAUGGUAACUGCUUGCAUAUCAGGAAUGGAUACCACCAUGUAAUCAAGGGAUAUCCCAACUGUGUAGUAGCAGAUGCCGUCAUCAACUUCUUUAUGGCUCAAACGGACAAAAUACGUCAAGUUGGCUUUGACCCCCGCCUGUCAAGAAGUGCACAUCUAGAGUUUUUUAUAGAUGCUCUGGGCAUUCUGCACAUUGGCUCCUGCAGUGAUGUCAUCGUUAACCAUGCAUCAAAGAUCAAGCUGCCGUGGACUAAGACAGAGGCACAGAAGACCUAUGAGAAAUUCAGAUACUCCUCUAACAGUGCAAAUAAUGACCUUCAUAAUGAAGUAUUCUAUUUUAAGAACAGGUUCAAGUGUAUGACUAGCCAAUAAAAAGUGAGCUUCCACUGGUCUUAUAAACUCCUUUUUUUUCGGACUUGGAGUUUUUUUUUAAUCAGUUUAUGAGUUAGGUUUUUUUUUUUUUUUUUACCACAUGCUGUUAAUUUAUAAUAAAGCAGUUGUGUUUAUGUUUUUCAAUUAAAGCACUGAAUAUUUUUAUUUCAUAAAUAAAAUGCCUUUGUAUUUUAUUUGUUUCUCUAAAGUGCAAUUUGCUGUCUGUGCUCUGCGUGUGUAAUUUGAAUUCCACAUCAUCUUUAAGUUUUAGUGCGUCCUUUUUUAAAUCUGUAUGCGUAUCAAGUCCAGGACCAAAGUUGUAUCACACUAGAAAUUAUUUUGAAAAAUUCCAUAAUUUUACCAAAUAGACUACAAAAAAGAAAGAAAUCCUUCACCAACUAAGCUCCUCCAUCUGCUGUCUCAAUAUUUUACCCAUGGCUUCCCUGAAGAAAGCUUUACCUGUCAUAUAUCUGAUUGAACUUAAAUGAUCAAUUUGUCUAUUUUGUGAGGUAUUUUCCCCCAGGCCCUAAAACGGUUACUAUAAAACCAAAAAGGGCUGACUUGGACACAGGGCGUACGCAGGGCCAAAAAAUACUGAGGUCCGGAGGCAGAUCUUCUAGGUGGGUUCGGUGGCCUGCUCCCCUAGAAAUGUUUCUAAUUUAUUUAAAUCUGGCCAUUUUCUGAGUCUUAAGGAGCAUAAACAUAAUUCUUUUGAAAGACUUUUGAAAAGGCUCAGCUGUGAAUUUCUCCUCUCCUGUCUUCCCUGCCAGACAUUUCCGACAUUAUAAACUUGAUUUUAUCAUCUUUCUUUUAAAGCCUCUGACCACGGUGGCUCUUGAACUAAGGCCAAGUCAUCUUUUUUCUGCACACAACCUUGCUGGGUUGAGCUCCGGGAUCCAGCAGAAAUGUAAUACAAAUUCAACAUCCAACACUGAGAAAACAAACGCCUAAUAAAGGUAUCAUUUUCAGCCAAAGAGGUUGCUCACAUAUCAAUCCCUUAAUGAAUGUUGAUUCAGUCGGUGGAAAAUGGUUAAACUUUUGGUUUGAUGUUUUAUUGCUGUCUAAGUUGCAUGCUGGGCAUAAAUCUUCAUGAAAAUGUUUUUUUCUGAUUGUCAACAACUUGAACUGCUCUCCACCUGCAUUAGUAGCUCUUUAUGCUCCUCUUCCAUGGACUGAAGGACUCAUGGGUCGGUAGCUUGUGUUUGGCAAUUACUAGAUGGACAGUGCAUGUUGACAAUGACUUAAGAUGAUUAAACCUUUGGCUCUUCAAAUAUAAAACACCUUGCAGUUUAGUGAGAGACCAAGUUCAUCAUCCCACAGUCAGUUUCACUGCAAUUAUUUUAGUUUAUAUCACAAUUCGAGCAAUAUAUAAAUGAAUAAAUGGUAGUUACAGCCCUACUUGGACAGGCUGCCAACCUCCCUUCAUGAGUUAAAUUAUUCAACAUUUUCCAGUCAUACUUCUCUGCUCAGUACAGAGACUGUUCUUAUCAAGGUGUUCAGUGAUAUCUGUGUAAAUGUAGACUGUGGAAGAAGCAGAUUACUGGUGUUAUGGGACCUUAGUGCACCAUUAAACACUGCUGAUUGUUCCAUUUUAUUAAAGUGCCUGGAAAACUUGGUCUGCCUUUCUGGACUCACUGGACUGUUUUUUAUUCUACUGAAGAACCAGGACUUGUUUGUGUCAGCGGGUAAUCUCUCCUCACAAAGUCACAUGCCAAGAGAGCUGGCAAGAAAGGACAAAAGCAAAGUUUGAACUCUGUAAUUAUGGGCUGACGUAUACAAUAAAUGACCCAGAGCAAUCAACAA